rnacentral:rRNA from 1 species
AAGUCGUAACAAGGCUUCCGUAGGUGAACCUGCGGAAGGAUCAUUAUUGAAGUAGAUUCGGGUUGAUGCUGGCUAGGGAAACUUAGUAUGUGCUCGCCUGUUCACUCCUUUCUUCUCUCCUGUGCACCUCUCGCUAGACUAUGAAUAUCUAUCUCAAGUUGUAAUGACUUGUGUAUUGGGGAUUGCAUCUAACCCAUGCUUUCCCUUGCCUUUCAUAGUCUAUGUUUUUCUACACCCCAAUGUAUGUUUUUGAAUGUCUUUUUUUGUGGGUUCUUGUAACCUAUAAAAUCUUAUACAACUUUUAACAACGGAUCUCUUGGUUCUCCCAUCGAUGAAGAACGCAGCGAAAUGCGAUAAGUAAUGUGAAUUGCAGAAUUCAGUGAAUCAUCGAAUCUUUGAACGCACCUUGCACCCUUUGGUAUUCCGAAGGGUAUGCCUGUUUGAGUGUCAUUAAAUUAUCAACCAUCUGAGUUUUCGAACUUCACUUGGCUUGNAUGUGGGGGUUGCGGGCUUCUAACGAGGUCGGCUCCUCUUAAAUGCAUUAGUGNAAACCGUUUGUAGNAUUCAUUUCACUUGACGUGAUAAUUAUCUUCGUCUUGUAGUGUUUCUGAGGUAUCUGCUUCUAACAGUCUCUUCAAUGUAGACAAAUGACUUUGUUUGACCUCAAAUCAGGUAGGACUACCCGCUGAACUUAAGCAUAUCAAUAAGCGGAGGAAAAGAAACUAACAAGGAUUCCCCUAGUAACUGCGAGUGAAGCGGGAAAAGCUCAAAUUUAAAAUCUGGCAGUCGUAUGAUUGUCCGAGUUGUAAUUUAGAGAAGUGUUAUCCGCGUUGGACCGUGUACAAGUCUCCUGGAAUGGAGCGUCAUAGAGGGUGAGAAUCCCGUCUUUGACACGGACUACCAAGGCUUUGUGAUACGCUCUCGAAGAGUCGAGUUGUUUGGGAAUGCAGCUCAAAAUGGGUGGUAAAUUCCAUCUAAAGCUAAAUAUUGGGGAGAGACCGAUAGCGAACAAGUACCGUGAGGGAAAGAUGAAAAGAACUUUGGAAAGAGAGUUAAACAGUACGUGAAAUUGUUAAAAGGGAAACGCUUGAAGUCAGUCGCAUUUGCUUGAAAUCAACCUUGCUCUUUUGCUUGGUGUACUUUCUUGUCGAUGGGUCAACAUCAGUUUUGACUGUUGGAAAAAGAUUAGAGGAAUGUGGCAUCGUAUGAUGUGUUAUAGCCUUUAGUUGUAUACAAUAGUUGGGACUGAGGAACUCAGCAUGCCGCAAGGCCGGGUACUUGUACCACGUACAUGCUUAGGAUGUUGACAUAAUGGCUUUAAUCGACC